GACGAACGCUGGCGGCGUGCUUAACACAUGCAAGUCGAACGGAAAGGCCCUGCUUUUGUGGGGUGCUCGAGUGGCGAACGGGUGAGUAACACGUGAGUAACCUGCCCUUGACUUUGGGAUAACUUCAGGAAACUGGGGCUAAUACCGGAUAGGAGCUCCUGCUGCAUGGUGGGGGUUGGAACGUUUCGGCGGUCGGGGAUGGACGCGCGGCUUAUCAGCUUGUUGGUGGGGUAGUGGCUUACCAAGGCUGUGACGGGUAGCCGGCAUGAGAGGGUGACCGGGCACAAUGGGACUGAGAUACGGCGCAGACUCCUACAGGAGACAGCAGUGGGGAGUAUUGCACAAUGGGCGGAAGCCUGAGACAACAACGCCGCGUGCGGGAUGACGGCCUUCGGGUUGUAAACCGCUUUCGCCUGUGACGAAGCGUGAGUGACGGUAAUGGGUGAAGAAGCACCGGCUAACUACGUG
rnacentral:rRNA from 1 species